AAAGUACCGUCAAGCUAUAUGGAUAUUAGCCAUAUAACAUUUCUUUCCUUACAACAGAGUUUUACAACCCGAGGGCCUUCAUCACUCACGCGGCGUCGCUCCGUCAGGCUUUCGCCCAUUGCGGAAAAUUCCC
rnacentral:rRNA from 1 species